AACGAACGCUGGCGGCAGGCUUAACACAUGCAAGUCGAACGGGUGUAGCAAUACAUCAGUGGCAGACGGGUGAGUAACACGUGGGAACCUUCCUAGGGGUACGGAACAACUCAGGGAAACUUGAGCUAAUACCGUAUACGUCCGUGAGGAGAAAGAUUUAUCGCCCUUAGACGGGCCCGCGUCGGAUUAGGUAGUUGGUGGGGUAACGGCCUACCAAGCCUACGAUCCGUAGCUGAUCUUAGAGGAUGAUCAGCCACACUGGGACUGAGACACGGCCCAGACUCCUACGGGAGGCAGCAGUGGGGAAUCUUGGACAAUGGGCGCAAGCCUGAUCCAGCCAUGCCGCGUGAGUGAAGAAGGCCUUAGGGUUGUAAAGCUCUUUUACCAGGGACGAUAAUGACGGUAGUCGGAGAAGAAGCCCCGGCUAACUUCGUGCCAGCCGCCGCUGUAAAAC
rnacentral:rRNA from 1 species